GGAUAUGGUAAUUAUGGUGGUGGAGAUGGAUAUGGUAGUGUAGGAAAUCGUGCAGGAGGUGCCCCUGGUAGCAAUGCCUCUGCCGGUGGUGGAGAGAUGCAAGGGGGUUAUGGUGAUUCAAAUGGUCAUGGAGGAUACGGGGCUGGAGGUUAUGGAUCUCAGUCAAAUGGACCUCAAAUGGGUUAUGGUGGCGGAUAUGGUGGGGCUCGAUAAGUGCAGUAACUGUGAUCUACUGAUCUGCUCCGAGCUGAGUCAUCGAUGACCACAGAAGCUCGUCCUUCCAAGUGGCUAAGGGGAUUGCUUGUUUGGAUUUCAAGCAUGCUGUUGGACUGGAGAGCUGCUCGAGUUUUGAAGUGAGGGGGGCUAUGCUAUACACAGCUAAAUGCAACUUUGCGAUGGGACCAUUAACACAUCCAAUCGGUUUUCUGAUGAGAGAUUGCAUUGUGUGGGACUGAUCAACCCAAGCACCUUCUCUUCGGUUCUAAUCUUCUAUCAAGUUGUUUAAGAGCUGAUGGGAACUUGUAACUUGGUCUCUAUCCGGGUAUGUCGAGUUCAAUUAAGGAUAUUUUCUUCCCUGGUUAGGAAAUUUAGACAAAAUAAGUUUAGAUUGUCAUAAUGGAAUAGAAAGACUAAUGUUCUAGACAAGUAUGGUUUAUCAUUUAUGGCUGAUUGUGGCAGUCGAAGUAGCCUACAACUUUUUCUAACCGAAGUAGUGUUUUCAUAGUAGUUCCAUUCCAUAGAGGUUACUUCUUCUUAGUCUCCUGACUCCUGAGGAUGAUUAGUGAUUUAAGCUCACUGUAUUUCCACGGUGUUUCGAACGGAGUAUCAUAUAUGAUAUAUAUAUCACUGAGAUUACAUUA